rnacentral:rRNA from 1 species
AACGAACGCUGGCGGCAGGCUUAACACAUGCAAGUCGAGCGCCUCGCAAGGGGAGCGGCAGACGGGUGAGUAACACGUGGGGAUCUGCCCAAUGGUACGGAAUAACUCAGGGAAACUUGUGCUAAUACCGUAUGUGCCCGCAAGGGGAAAGAUUUAUCGCCAUCGGAUGAACCCGCGUCGGAUUAGCUAGUUGGUGUGGUAAAGGCGCACCAAGGCGACGAUCCGUAGCUGGUCUGAGAGGAUGAUCAGCCACACUGGGACUGAGACACGGCCCAGACUCCUACGGGAGGCAGCAGUGGGGAAUAUUGGACAAUGGGCGCAAGCCUGAUCCAGCCAUGCCGCGUGAGUGAUGAAGGCCUUAGGGUUGUAAAGCUCUUUCGCCGACGAAGAUAAUGACGGUAGUCGGAGAAGAAGCCCCGGCUAACUUCGUGCCAGCAGCCGCCGUAA